UCUGUUUCCCUCGCCCCUCUCAAUCUCUCUCUCGUGACGGCGGAACCACGGGGUUGCGCCCCGGCCGCCGGCGGCGACGGAGGAAGCCACCGCGCCGCGCGCGCCUCCUUUCCCUUCCCCCUUCUCUUUCGUAGAGAGGACUAGGCGCGAGCCCCUCCUCUGAUCUGUUGCUCUGUCCCGCACGCCGGGGCAUCGCGCUGCUCCGGUCGCCGGCAACGGCGACGAGCGCCACCGCGCCUCCCUUCCUUUCCUGUGGCAGAGAGAGAGGGUCGGGCUUGCGCCCUCCUCUACUACACUUGCGCCUCGACGACGCCUCCAUCUCUAUUGGAGUAGCGGCUGGGCACGGCUGCGCCGGCCGCUGGCGUGGAUAGCAAACCACCGCGGCGCGCGAUCCCGUUCCUAUUUCCCUUUCUUUUCUGUUAUUUCUCCCUCCACCACCAUAUAAGGCUUCGAGUAGUGGAGAUUCAGGGAAGAACGGCGCCCCUCUGGCCCCCUUGCCGGCGUGUGCGUGCACCCGUAGAUGGGCGCACCGCCGUCAAGCGGUUCAGCGGCGGCGCCAUGUUUCGGCGACCGCGUGGUCUCUUUGCCCCCAAAAGGGGGUGCUGUUCUUCUUCUCGAUGCCUCGGCUUGCCGAUGCACAUCGAGAUCGAGAGGAACGGCGCGGCCAAGACGGCGGAACUCUUUGUCGGCGAGCCCAAGGCCCUGCUCCGGUGAUCUUCUUUGCCCUGUCUAGGGUUCUUCGGGAGGGGGAAAGAUUUUCUUUUGUGUUCUUUUCUACUGAAAAUCCUAAACCAAACCUUGUCUGAUACCAUUGAUAGAACUGUGGAUCGUAUAGGCUUAGGGAUUAGCAGUAGUUCUACCUUCUCGAGCUCCUGGUGCCGGCCAUGGUGCUGGUGAUGGCAGAGAGUAGUGGGGUGGAUGCGGCUGAGAUGUAUGGGCAUUGGCGGCGGCAGAGCUUCCCAUCGCUUAAGUGCCUCCCUCUGGAUCGGAUAUGGUUAGGAGUAGGGAACAAUGGCGGUGACGAACCUCGUACCCUGUGCCCCUGGUCCCCACCUCCUCUUUAUAGCACUACGCAAUAGGGGCCCACCAGCCUUGCUUGGGCUGGACGCCCCCGAUCAGGGCGUGGGUCAAGGGCCCAAUGAGCCGUUGGGCCCAUUGGUGGAGAGAUCAACCUAACAGAUAUUUCCCAAUUCCCCUCAAUCCUAGACCUUCAAAGUGCACACUACUCUCGAUGGCGAUUGGAAUUCAGGUUUCACUUGUGUAACUAUCCGGGGAAAAAUUCCUCAAAAACAACUAGAAGGGGAAAUCAGAUUGACGCACUGAUGAAAUAUAGUGUCUUGGUACCUAUCUAUCAACCAAUCCACCCAUCAUGAUCCUUCCCUCUGAUAAGUUUUGUUUCUCUGAACGUUUGAAACAUGGCUGUUCUCUUCUCGGGCUUUUUAGGAGCGUCUGCUGAGCAAUGUUCUGCUUUCAAUUCCUCAUGUUCCAACAACCAUGACAACAAUUAUGGUUCGCGACUCUGAAGAAUUAUUUGUGCAUCAAUGCUAUUGAACAUAUAAAUGAUGAAAGGGGUGCUAGGCAGAAGCGCGCCAUCCACGUGUCCUCGAUGAAUAGUGGAGAGAAAAAGCGGCCAGUGUGUGCGAUCGGGCAGGGGAAGCGGCAGCGAGAAAAGAAAGAAAAGGGGAAGUGAGCAGGCAAAAGCAGCCAGACCUAGCGCCCCCGCAGCCGCCUCCUCUCCUGCCGCCGCCGCCUCAACCUCGUCUCCUUUCUUGCCCGCCUCCUCUCCUCUCCCCCGGUUCUCCUGGCGCUGCCACCCCUUCUUUCCUCUGUCCCCGCCCCUGCCGCGAGCCCAUCCUCCUCUUCGUGCCGCCGGCUGUCGCGGAGGUGUAGAGCAAGGCACCGAGCCACGGGAGCUCGCCGUGCGCGUGGAGCUCGUCCACCAUCGAGGGCCACCGCACCAGCGAUAACACCGCUAGCUGCCACACGACAUCACCCACGUCUCCUCAUCCCGCUGGCCUCCGCGACGGUCGGUGAUGUAGAGCAGGGCGCCGAGCCGCGGGAGCUCGCCAUGCGUGUGGAACUCGUCCACCACCGAGGCCCCCCGCACCAACGACAACACUGUCAACCACGCCCCUCCUCCCCGGUUCAUUCUCACCUCCAUCAGGCAGGUGUGGAAAUUGUGGAAGUGUCUCAACUCCCGUAACAUGGGAACCCGCGUGUUAUAUAUUGAUUAGACGAGGCCGGCUCUCACAGAGGCAUACAAGAUUACGGUUGUUCAACAACCAGAAAGAUACAUGGAGAGAUAGAGGAGAAUAAACAGAUGAAAAGAUAAACAAGCUAACAACCUGGAUUCUCCUAACUACUCUAACAUGAUAAUGCAUGAUAUAUGUUUAACAGCAGGGUGUGGUGCUGUUUACAAAGGUUGAUUGCAGUAUGCAGCUUUCCGAGUGUGAAGAGGUAUGUGACCAUUUGGCAUUUGGGUGUUUUCCCUUUCCGAUCUGGUGAUGACCAUAGAUAUUGUACUUGGUCUAAGGUUAUUUCCUGUCCAGGAUAAUACGAGUAGAAUUUAAAGCAAGGUAGGUGUGCAGGCUGCUGAUUUGGGGCUUAGCUCAAGCAACUUUUGAUUUCUUGACUGUUUGGUUGAUGUAGCAUUUGUUAAUGAUUGAUUCUCUAGCAAGCUUUGCUCUGUAAUUUUAGAAUUGAUGCUGCCAUAAGUUUUUCCCAUGCUUGCUUCAACUUUCUAUGUCUGGAUGACUAUAUGAACAAGACUCACUAGGUUCUGCAUCAUCAACUAACAACCAACUCCAACAAUUACCCAUGCUGGCUGUCCUAUAACUAACCCAUUUUACAAUUGCUCGCCUUUUCUAGGUAAAGACAACAUAAUCAGCUUGGUUAAUAAAUAGCCGGCUGUCGCGGCGGUGUAGAGCAAGGCACUGAGCCACGAGAGCUCGCCGUGCGCGUGGAGCUCGUCCACCAUCGAGGGCCACCGCACUAGCGACAACACCGCUGGCUGCCACACGACAUCACCCACGUCUCCUCAUCCCGCUGGCCUCCGCGACGGUCGGUGAUGCAGAGCAGGGCGCCGAGUCGCGGGAGCUCGCCAUGCGUGUGGAACUCGUCCACCACCGAGGCCCCGCGCACCAACGACAACACUGUCACCCACGCCCCUCCUCCCCGGUUCAUUCUCACCUCCAUCAGGCAGGUGUGGAAAUUGUGGAAGCGUCUCAACUCCCGUAACAUGGGAGCCCGCGUGUUAUAUAUUGAUUAGGCGAGGCCGGCUCUCACAGAGGCAUACAAAAUUACGGUUGUUCAACAACCAGAGAGAUACAUGGAGAGAUAGAGGAGAAUAAACAGAUGAAAAGAUAAACAAGCUAACAACCUGGAUUCUCCUAACUACUCUAGCAUGAUAAUGCGUGAUAUAUGUUUAACAGCAGGGUGUGGUGCUGUUUACAAAGGUUGAUUGCAGUAUGCAGCUUUCCGAGUGUGAAGAGGUAUGUGACCAUUUGGCAUUUGGGUGUUUUCCCUUUUCGAUCUGGUGAUGACCAUAGAGAUUGUACUUGGUCUAAGGUUAUUUUCUUGUCCAGGAUAAUACGAGUAGAAUUUAAAGCAAGGUAGGUGUGCAGGCUGCUGAUUUGGGGCUUGCUCGAGCAACUUUUGAUUUCUUGAUUGUUUGGUUGAUGUGGCAUUUGUUAAUGAUUGAUUCUCUAGCAAGCUUUGCUCUGUAAUUUUAGAAUCGAUGCUGCCAUAAGUUUUUCCCAUGCUUGCUUCAACUUUCUAUGUCCGGAUGACUAUAUGAACAAGACUCACUAGGUUCUGCAUCAUCAACUAACAACCAACUCCAACAAUUACCCAUGCUGGCUGUCCUAUAAAUAACCCAUUUUACAAUUGCUCACCUUUUCCAGGUAAAGACAACAUAAUCAGCUUGGUUAAUAAAUAGCACAUUCCAUAUGAAAAUUACUAUUGCAUAUACUUUACACGAUUUACCUUGGUGCUCUAGCUAUUUUGCUUAGUUGGUAAAUAAAUAUCACAUUUGUAUAUUAUCGAAAAUAGAUAGACUGUGUACCUGUGAUACUAUAUAUGCAUAAUAGCCAAUCGUGUAUAAACCAAGUGUGCUCAUAUAUAUUGGAGACAUCCAUGUCUUGGUGAUUUCCUUUACCCUACUUACUAUAUCUACCAUCAUUGGUUGUUUAAAUCCUCAACUGAUACUGUCGUCUUAUAUUACUAGAAGUUGCAGAAUAUCCGAACUACAGUCAGGAUAAUAAUGGAUCUGCUGAUGACAAGGCUAGGAAUUCCAAAGGUUGAGAUUGUCGCGGGGCUCAAAAUCUACCACUGAUUAAAGGAUAAUAAUGCAUUCUACUAUUCCACCGACUUUGUUUGUGGAAAGUCUACCAGCCCAAAAUUUAGUUUCACUUUUGUUGAAACAUUGGAUCCAUGAAUGUUUGUUUAUAUAAAGAGAAUUGAUGUGCAAUUAACUUGAACUUUAAAGUUCUAUAGUUAUUUUGUAGGCACAUAAGAGUACUGCAUCGAGAAACCAGAGACGUAUAUAGCGCGCAUAUAGAGAUUUGAGGAAGACACUGCAGGAUUAGCUCAAUCCGGACGAGGUCGUGCGGUCAUCGGCACCUUCUCCACUGUGGGAGGCCAUGGGCAAGAGGAAGGAACCGCCGACAGCUCUAGAAGGACAUGCCACCCUGAUCGUCAAGUGCAUAUGCCGUCUCUGCUUUUGUUUCCAUCGGGAGUAUUUGCCAUUGUUGGGUAUCCAUAGAAAUUCAGGGAAUAUCUAUUGUUAACAGAUUUUGUUGGGAUCCACACUCCGAAGCUGAUUUUAGGAUCAAGUGAAGGUGGACCAGUAGUAUUCAAACUUGCAUAUCUUGGCCAGCCUCCUUGUUUAGCACUAUCCCCUCAGUUGCACAAGCAGUUGGCUUGGCCAUGGCGCUGGUGCCGUUGACUCCCACUGGCCUCCUUCGUCUCCCAGCCACAGCUGGCUCUAACCCCUCUUCUGAUGUGGUCCGGUGGGAGCAAGAAGAAGAGCAGGCAUGCUCUCUCUACUUCCAGCGUCCAUAUGACCAGAUCGACCGGCCUAAACUCUGGUUGAGCUCCCCCACGACCCGAUUUCACACCUUGAUGGUUGUGUCGUAUGGUUGUCAGCAUUUGAUUGAUGAAUAUUUAAGUUUUGCUAAAUGAUCUUGCCUUAACCAUCUGCAUCUUGAUCUGAUUUAUUCUGUCAUGUUUACUUAUUUUUCCACUA